GUUUUAUUCUGCCCUGGAGCACUCAGGAGAAGCUUGUGGUGAUGACAGCCAGUGUACCAAUUAUCCUGCAAAAGCUACAUGGUCACCCAAAGGGCAUGCUCCUAGAACUAUCAUCUAUCAUGAAAAAGUAACGACAUUCUGAGAAGAAAUAAAUUAAUGGACAAACUGCUUUUAGCAGACUAUCUGUUGCUGUUUCCCUCUCCUGUGGCUAUAAUGCUAAAUUCAUAAUACAGUUAAAGAAAGCAAAAACUUUAUUCCUCCUUUUUACACCAGUACAAACCAUACCGCACUCUGAUUGCUGCUGUUAAUGGGUAGCUCGCUCCACCACUCAAGAUUUUUCUCACGUAGACUGAGCCAGAUCUGGUCAGUGUGUGCUGCCAUGCUGCCACUGCAGAAAUAGCUUUGUGUCUUUGGGAGAACAUUUUGGGAUGUACAACUUGUUGUGCAUGCUACUAGUGUUCAUAUCAGAAACCAGCCUGAACCAUAGACCUUCAAGGUAGCGGAAAACUCAAGGCACCUACAAGAAAGGGUUAGUUUUAUUUGAAAGUAACUUGGAAGGCUGUGUGGCCUCUAUCUCCCAAGGCUUCAGAAGAUAAUGAACAGAAGAUAGAAGAAACACUUCAGGAAUCUGAAGGCACAGAGAAUUUGAGAGAGAUUAAAAGCUGGCUGAAGAAUAUGCUGCUGCCCAUCUGCCUGAGCUCAUGCAGUCCUCAAGCUCUGAUAGAGACUUUUCAUGCUAAUGUAGCCUCUUUGUAGCUAAAACUUCCAGCUUCCAAAUUGAAAUGACAUAAAAUCAAGCAAUUUAUUUAAGUGCCAAACAUCAGUGCUUUUCUUCAGUUUGCUGUUCAAGAAGAUCUGCAAGGUAUCUAUCACCUCAGGGUCAUGAAAAUCUUAUACCCUUCACUGUCUAACUGGCUCAUAUAUAGAAGCUGAAAGCCAAGAAGAGCUCGUUUUCAGUUUCCCAGGACAGCCUAGCUCUGGAGGGUUGGAUUUCUGGGUUGUAUGCGGUCCAAGAAAGCAGACCUUCCACUUGUGUAUUUGGAAAAUAAAGUACCUUUCUCUGACUCUCCCUGA